rnacentral:rRNA from 1 species
UGCCACACUGGGGCUGAGACACUGCCCAGACUCCUACGGGAGGCUGCAGUCGAGAAUCAUUCGCAAUGGGCGAGAGCCUGACGAUGCGACGCCGCGUGCGGGAAGAAGGCCUUCGGGUUGUAAACCGCUGUCACCCGUUAAGAAAGGCAUGGCGCCGAAUAAGUGCCGUGUUUGACGAAGGCGGGGGAGGAAGCCACGGCUAACUUCGUGCCAGCAGCCGCGGUAAUACGAAGGUGGCGAGCGUUGUUCGGAAUCACUGGGCAUAAAGGGCACGCAGGCGGCGGCCUAAGUCGGUUGUGAAAGACCCCGGCUCAACUGGGGGAACGCAACCGAAACUGAGUCGCUUGAGCACGGAAGGGGAAGGUAGAAUUCCAGGUGGAGCGGUGAAAUGCGUAGAUAUCUGGAGGAAUACCAGAGGCGAAGGCGGCCUUCUGGUCCGUUGCUGACGCUGAGGUGCGAAAGCUAGGGGAGCAAACAGGAUUAGAUACCCUGGUAGUCCUAGCUGCAAACGAUGUGCACUAGGUAGAGGACGUACUCUGCGUUCUUUGCCGGAGCUAAUGUAUUAAGUGCACCGCCUGGGGAGUACAGUCGCAAGGCCGAAACUCAAAGGAAUUGACGGGGGCUCACACAAGCGGUGGAGCAUGUUGUUUAAUUCGAAUCAACGCGCAGAACCUUACCCAAACUUGACAUGUUGGUGGUACGAGGAUGAAAGUCCAAGGACCCUUUACGGGGAGCCAGCACAGGUGUUGCAUGGCUGUCGUCAGCUCGUGUCGUGAGAUGUUAGGUUAAGUCCUGUAACGAGCGAAACCCCUAUCGUCUAGUUGCCAUCGGGUCGUGCCGGGCACUCUAGCGAGACUGCCGAUCCAAACCGGAGGAGGGAGGGGAUGACGUCAAGUCCUCAUGGCCCUUACGUCUGGGGCUACAAACGUGCUACAAUGGCCGGUACGAAGGGUAGCGAACUCGUGAGAGUAAGCGAAUCCCAGAAAGCCGGUCCCAGUUCGGAUUGUAGGCUGCAACUCGCCUACAUGAAGUUGGAAUCGCUAGUAAUCGCGGAUCAGCUACGCCGCGGUGAAUAUGUUCCUGAGCCUUGUACACACCGCCCGUCAAGCCACGAGAGCGGGCAGUACCCGAAGUCGCUGACCCAACCCGCAAGGGAGGGAAGUGCCGACGGUAAGGCUCGUGAUUGGGACUAAGUCGAAACAAGGUA